AUGUUACUUUCUUUGAUAAUUUUUUAUAUAAUCAAGAUGUUUCACUUAAUAUUUUGUCUUCAUUUAUACAGGUUAGGUGUAAUUCUCUGAACUUUUUGAAUAAUUAUUCGAGAGAAGUGUGUAACUUUUGUGUUGAGAAUGAAAUUGUGGAUGCUUGGCAUGUUUUGGCUAAAUGUGGGCGUCUUAAGGUGUUACGUGAUGAAAUUUUUGGUUGCAAAGUUCUUACCAGGUCUUUAUUUCUUAAAACUUUAUCGGAACCAUGUUAUCAAUUUAAAGUGUUUUGUUUUCUUCUUUUAGGGGGCGUGAUUCCUCAAUUAUAAAAUUGGCUUUGCUGCUGGUUUUAAAGCAUCUGUCAGUGCUGUGUUUUCGUUACUAAUUUAUUUCUUCUUUAUAGGUAAGAAAUUUGCUUUCUCAUUUGGUUGAUUGUUUUACUUUUAUCUUGUUUAUUGGUUUUGUAUUAUUUUUUGACAGAUGCUCCCAAACUUUAACUAAUUAUUAUAUUUGAUUUUUAAAUCUAAAUAUUUAAAUUGUUAUUUAUUUAAAUUAAUAUUGUAAUAUAUAAUUUUUUAUUGUAAUCUUAUGCCUAUUGUAUUUAAGUGUUUUGUUCUUUUGGGAGAUGAUUUUGCUCCCCACAUCAAGGAGUGUAUCCAGUAUGCAUAAUAAAUAAAUAAAUAAAUAAAUAAUAAUACAUCUGGCAACAACAGGAGGACAUGGUGUUACUUCAACAACAUGGAUGAGUGGCUUCGUGAACAUCCUGAUGUGGCAUCACCUUUCGCGCUUAGCAGUGAAAGCUGUUCAUUUGCAUCUACAUCUUCACUGCCUGAAGUUUCUGCAUCAUCAUCACCAGGCCAACGUCCAAAAAGAAAACUACUAACAGAUGUUGAGCAUAAGACUGCAAAACGGCAGUGGCAUGAGGAACUUCUGCAAAGGAUGGAUGAAUUUAAUAAUUUAUUUAAACAGUUCAUUGAAAAAAUAGGAAAUAUUACAAAAUAAGAACAUAUUAAUAAAAGUAGUUUGAUUUCCAUAAACUGUAUUCAAAAUGUUUGUAAUUAACCAUAAAUAAAUACAGUAGUUCAUAA